rnacentral:rRNA from 1 species
CACGGGGGGAGCAAGCGUUGUCCGGAAUCAUUGGGCGUAAAGAGCGUGUAGGCGGCUCGGUAAGUCCGCUGUGAAAGUCCAGGGCUCAACCCUGGAAUGCCGGUGGAAACUGUCGAGCUAGAGUCCGGAAGAGGCGAGUGGAGUUCCUGGUGUAGCGGUGAAAUGCGCAGAUAUCAGGAGGAACACCAAUGGCGAAGGCAGCUCGCUGGGACGGUACUGACGCUGAGACGCGAAAGCGUGGGGAGCAAACAGG